rnacentral:ncRNA from 1 species
UCAAAGCAAGCCAUCGCUCUGGAUACAUUAGCAUGGGAUAACAUCAUAGGAUUCCGGUCCUAUUGUGUUGGCCUUCGGGAUCGGAGUAAUGAUUAAUAGGGACAGUCGGGGGCAUUAGUACUCACAUGCUAGAGGUGAAAUUCUUGGAUUUUGUGAAGACUAACUUCUGCGAAAGCAUUUGCCAAGGAUGUUUUCAUUAAUCAAGAACGAAAGUUGGGGGCUCGAAGACGAUCAGAUACCGUCCUAGUCUCAACCAUAAACGAUGCCGACCAGGGA